UAUCCAUUUCCUUUAUCCCAAAUAGGGCGGCUCACAUCUUGGGUGAAACCGACCGACUCGGCCAAUUAAUCCGAAUCAAACCAAUUUGUCGGUUAAAAGUACACGGCCUGGUACAUUAAACGCUUCUCAUUUUAGGUCGGUUGAUGGAAUAAUUUAUUAAAACCCGAGAAACCUAAUUUUAUCAUUUAAAAAUCUGUGUGUCUCCUAGAUAUAGGUUCGCUUGUUUCUCUUCUCUUUCUUUGCAUAUCCAAUGUCGGAUUUUUCAUCUACACCCUGAUCUGGAUUCUUGGCUUCUCGUGCUGCAGCAGAUCGAGGACGACGAGAUCACUUGUGCUCUCCUAUCGAACCUUAUCAAGCACGUCUUUACCUUCAACAGGCUCCAUAACGGCCAGAGGAACUUCUCCGUUCUCUUUCCCCGAAAACGACGGCUAUCUUCUCCAGGUCGUUUGAUAAUUUGCUGAAGUUUUGGCACAUUGUUUGCUGAAGUUCUGAGCAGUAAAGACCCCUGUUUCUUUUUGUGGCCAUGGAACAUCUUAAUUUACAAAAUGAUGGAUUGGGUCAGCUUGGAAGCAAAUUUGCUCCCAAAGCGGCUUAUGAACAGUCCUAGCUAUCAUCACCAACGUAUGUGAUAUUCUUUUUUGAUUUUAGGUGUGGACUUUCGCACAAUUCUUCUUAAAAGAGAUCUUCUCAGGACUCUCAAGUCUCAAUUGAUUUUUUUUUUUUUUUAAUGCUUUGAGGAACAAAGAUCCUAAUUUUGACAUGUUGCGCUAAUAUUGCAUGAACCCUGAACUGAGUUACCAUGUACGAUGUGGUAUUUAGAGCCUGGAAGAUAAUGUCAUCCUGAAAACUAGUUGCUGUUUCACAAUCCCGUCCCUGUAUUUCUUUUUCCUCCAAAAUAUUUUUAAGGUUUCGGUUUUAUCGUUUUAUAGAAUGCAAAUGUUUUUCGAUGAGGACCAAUCUCGAGUUUGGAAGAUAAUGUCAUUCUUCAAACUACAUGUUGUUUAACAAUUUAGUUUCUGUAUUUUUUUUUAAAAGAAAAAUUCUUCUGUUUAUUUCUUCAGCAAAGUGAUAAUUGCAAGACUUUAAGAAGCUUUCAUUUUUAUUUUUAUUUUUUUAAAGAUUGCAUAUGGUAUCAUGCAGUGCCUAUUUUGUUCUUGUAAGUUUUUGGUUUCCAAAAUUCUUCUUGUUUUUAAGAAAAAUGAUCAUUCUCAAGGUUUUCAGAAGGUUUCUUUUUUUAUUUUUUUAUUUUUUUAUUUUCAGGAACAAAGGUCCUGAUUUUGUGCAAGCAAACAAUUAGGCCUUGAUUAAGUCUUCUUUUGAAGUUGCAAACUUGCUCUACUGACGCAUGGGAAAAAUUUUCUGAAAACUACCUGGUCCUUAACAAUCUAGUCCCUUUAUUUUUCUCCCCAAAAUUCUACUUAUUUCUCAGAAAAGUGAUAAUUUUUAAGGAUUUUCAAAAUUUAUCAUUCUUACUUUUAUAAAAUUGCAUAUGGUUUCAUUGAGUGGCAAUUUUGAGCUUGGAAGAUAAAGUCCUUCUGAAAACUACCUGGUGUUCCACAAUCCAGUUCCUGUAUUUUUAUUUUCAAAAUUCUUCUGCAUAUGUUUUAGAAAAAUGACCAUUCUCACUAUGCCUUCGUUUCCCCUCAAGAUCAUUUGAUAAGGCUCAUUGCUCAAGAUUCCUUAUUCCGUGGACUGUAUGGUAAUUGAUCAUCAGAGACUCUGAUCAGCAUUUUACUACAUACAAGAUUAUUAUUGCAGUAUGCUUGAAUGUGAAUGUAGGAAAGAUAUUUUGUAGCUAGGCAGUCAGGAUUACGGCAACUAUUAAACUUUCUGCUUCUUACUCCCUGUUUUUGAGUGGCAUUUUUAUUCUAUUCUGGUUUUGCUGAAAUUCAUUUGGGGAUUGAUAUCUGAGUUUCUCUUGCAAUGUUCUUUAUUUGUAGGAAUUGGGAAUUACUUUGAUAAUUUAAAUCA